rnacentral:rRNA from 1 species
GUGCCAGCAGCCGCGGUAAUUCCAGCUCCAAUAGCGUAUAUUAAAGUUGUUGUGGUUAAAAAGCUCGUAGUUGAACCUUGGGCCUGGCUGGCCGGUCCGCCUCACCGCGUGCACUGGUCCGGCCGGGCCUUUCCCUCUGUGGAACCCCAUACCCUUCACUGGGCGUGGCGGGGAAACAGGACAUUUACUUUGAAAAAAUUAGAGUGCUCCAGGCAGGCCUAUGCUCGAAUACAUUAGCAUGGAAUAAUAAAAUAGGACGCGCGGUUCUAUUUUGUUGGUUUAUAGGACCGCCGUAAUGAUUAAUAGGGACAGUCGGGGGCAUCAGUAUUCAACUGUCAGAGGUGAAAUUCUUGGAUCAGUUGAAGACUAACUACUGCGAAAGCAUUUGCCAAGGAUGUUUUCAUUAAUCAGGAACGAAAGUUAGGGGAUCGAAGACGAUCAGAUACCGUCGUAGUCUUAACCAUAAACUAUGCCGACUAGGGAUCGGACGGUGUUAUUCAUGACCCGUUCGGCACCUUACGAGAAAUCAAAGUGCUUGGGCUCCAGGGGGAGUAUGGUCGCAAGGCUGAAACUUAAAGAAAUUGACGGGAAGGGCACCACCAGGGGUGGAGCCUGCGGCUUAAUUUGACUCAACACGGGGAAACUCACCAGGUCCAGACACAAUAAGGAUUGACAGAUUGAGAGCUCUUUCUUGAUUUUGUGGGUGGUGGUGCAUGGCCGUUCUUAGUUGGUGGGGUGACUUGUCUGCUUAAUUGCGAUAACGAACGAGACCUUAACCUGCUAAAUAGCCCGCAUUGCUCCGGCAGUGCGCUGGCCUUCUUAGAGGGACUUUCCGGCUCAAGCCGAG